rnacentral:rRNA from 1 species
UCCAGACUCCUACGGGAGGCAGCAGUCGGGAAUAUUGCACAAUGGAGGAAACUCUGAUGCAGUGACGCCGCGUGCAGGAAGAAGGUUUUAGGAUUGUAAACUGCUUUAGACAGGGAAGAAAAAAGACAGUACCUGUAGAAUAAGCUCCGGCUAACUACGUGCCAGCAGCCGCGGUAAUACGUAGGGAGCAAGCGUUGUCCGGAAUUACUGGGCGUAAAGGGCGCGUAGGUGGGUGCUUAAGUCAGGUGUGAAAACUCUGGGCUCAACCUGGAGACUGCACUUGAAACUGGGUAUCUUGAGGGCAGGAGAGGAAAGUGGAAUUCCUAGUGUAGCGGUGAAAUGCGUAGAUAUUAGGAGGAACACCAGUGGCGAAGGCGACUUUCUGGACUGUACCUGACGCUGAGGCGCGAAAGCGUGGGUAGCGAACGGGAUUAGAUACCCGUGUAGC